ACUUUUCACAUAGGUAGUUCCCUAAAUUUAUUCUUGAUAACUUAUCUUGCGUGGAAAGUGGUUGUUGAUGACUGGAUUUAAUCACAUGUCAUUCCCUUCAGGGCUGAUGAAUUAGCUAAUUAGCCUGAGUUCAGAUCCCCAGACUCCCCUGCUGCUCAAACACUAGAGAAAACACUGCUGGGACAGAGAGACUUCUGUUUCCCCUUUUUCAACACUGAUGUCCCCUAUUUAUAGUAACAAACUAACUUAGUAAACAGUUUCAAUGCAGUCAGUGAACUGUCUAAUGCGCUGUUUCAGUGUGCUUGCCAGCGACACAGCCAGCUUGAAUGCAGCUAUAAGACAGUGACAUUUGAAAGCACAUUUGUGAUCUGAAACCAUCACAGGCAGCUUCGGGUCUUUGUGUGCUCAGGAUUACUGUUGCUGAUGGAGUAGUUGAAGCGUUCCUCUUGCUGUCAGCUCUGAGGCAGCAAUGUGGAUAUAUGAAUGGAUAAUGACGUCAUGACCAUGUUACGUCCGUACAGCGCCAUGUCUCUGAGGAAUUUCCAGCUUUGGAUCGACAAUGAAGUGUCCUCAUGUGACCCAGAGACUCCCAACAAAGCGUUUUAACAGCUUUCUCCCACAUUCCUAAGUCAGACUGAGCGACAUACAGUGACCUGCAAAGGCAAAGGCAAAGGGUCGGGUCUGGCGGGGGGCGGGUUCUCUCCUGCUGAUUAUCUGAAUUUUCUGUUCCUGUUUUUAAAACUUCAGCAUGCAUCAAAACUAGCACCCAUAUUGAGAUAUACUGUAUUUGUUGAAAUUUGAACUUCUGUUUGUGUGUAUCCACUUAAAAAGUGCCAGCGUGUGCCUGCCAUUUAAGUAUGUUGUUUGUUUGUUUGUUUGUUUUGCUUGUCUAUUUAAAAAGGGACAGUGCAAACUAAUCAAAUAAAGUCCAAUAUGUAAUUGUACCAGAUUAAACCAUACAGACUAAUUUUCAUCUGCAGUCCCUGGCGGGUUGAUGGCGUUACAGAAAAUAUCAAAAUACAUACAGGUACAUAAGCACAACAGAAAACACAGGAGCAUAGAUAAUACAUAAAAGCAUUAACCACAUAAAAGCAGAGCACAUAAGCACAAAUAUGAUGACACAUAAAAGACAUCAGCAUAUAAGCAAUUUGUAAAACCAAUAACGGAGGCACUACUGCAAAUAAUGACAACAUAUUUGAUUAUUCUGUAACAACUGUUCUGUUGCAUUUAAUAAGCUUUUUACAACAAAAAGACCAGCAAACUAAAUUCUCUAACUGCAGUUGUCAUAAAAGCUACCUGACCUUCUGAUGAACUGGAAUAUUCUUGCAUCCAUGGGCCAAUAAAAGUGAUAUUAAACUCAAACACACACCGGGGUGAAGCUAUUAACAAGGCUGCCUUUCAGCUCCUGAAAAGUUCAAAUGUUUAUAUAUAUUUUGUUUUUAAUCUAACAGCAGAGCGUGCUCACAAGGAGCUGCAGACCAGUUGAUAGAUAAAACCUACUGUGCUAUUUUUUGCAUGGUCUCAUUUUCUCAUCCAUCUACUUGAGGAAACGCCUGAAUCCUUGUUAAGUUUUACCUUGCAUUUCUUUUCUCUUCAGAAGGAUUUCCUGCUCACGCAUCAUGAAGUGUAAAUAUUGAAAUACGACACCUAUGUAACUGGCCAUUGUCUACAAACAGCUCUCUAAAUGGUUGCACGGAGAUGGCCUGACUCAGGAAAGCUCAGCCCAUUUGGGGGGGGGGGAAUAUCAUAGAGUAAAUAUCAGGAUGUAGGAUGUAUCUACUGUGUACUUCUCACAUGCAGACUUCAAAGCACUGUGUUUGCUGAUAUGCCUAAUGUGUAGUAAUGUUAAUACAAUUUGAAAACAUCUCACUGUGCAUUUAUCUAAUUUGGAGAGGGUAACAGUGAAAGGCGGCCACUUUUGAUUAUUUGUUUGAGAUUUGCAUUCUUCUGUUUGUUUAUUUAUUCCACACAUUCACAAUAAAAAUAAAAAAAACAACAAAGCAA